rnacentral:rRNA from 1 species
CCGUGCAAAGGUAGCACAAUCACUUGUUCUCUAAAUUAGGACUAGUAUGAAAGGCCCCACGAGAGCUAUACUGUCUCCCUCCUUUAAUCAAUGAAAUUGAUCUCCUCGUGAAGAAGCGAGGAUAACAACAUAAGACGAGAAGACCCCAUGGAGCUUUAAACUUGUGUUACUGCCUUUUCUUCGCCCAUUAACCCAGGCAACCUAACUACAAGUCUUUCGGCUGGGGCGACCACGGAGAAAAACUCAACCUCCAAGACGAAACGGAGCAAUCCUAACUAUAGAGCGACAGCUCAAAAAAUCAACAUACUGACGCAUUGACCCAAACAUUUUUUGAUCAACGAACCAAGUUACCCUGGGGAUAACAGCGCAAUCCAUUUCAAGAGACCCCAUCAACAAAUGGGCUUACGACCUCGAUGUUGGAUCAGGGUACCCCAGUGGUGCAGCCGCUACUAAAGGUUCGUUUGUUCAACGAUUAAAACCCU